rnacentral:rRNA from 1 species
AGUGAACGCUGGCGGUAGGCCUAACACAUGCAAGUCGAACGGUAGCACAGUAAGAGCUUGCUCUUACGGGUGGCGAGUGGCGGACGGGUGAGGAAUACAUCGGAAUCUACUUUUUCGUGGGGGAUAACGUAGGGAAACUUACGCUAAUACCGCAUACGACCUACGGGUGAAAGCAGGGGAUCUUCGGACCUUGCGCGAUUGAAUGAGCCGAUGUCGGAUCAGCUAGUUGGCGGGGUAAAGGCCCACCAAGGCGACGAUCCGUAGCUGGUCUGAGAGGAUGAUCAGCCACACUGGAACUGAGACACGGUCCAGACUCCUACGGGAGGCAGCAGUGGGGAAUAUUGGACAAUGGGCGCAAGCCUGAUCCAGCCAUACCGCGUGGGUGAAGAAGGCCUUCGGGUUGUAAAGCCCUUUUGUUGGGAAAGAAAAGCAGCAGGUUAAUACCCCGCUGUUCUGACGGUACCCAAAGAAUAAGCACCGGCUAACUUCGUG